rnacentral:rRNA from 1 species
AUUGAACGCUGGCGGCAUGCCUUACACAUGCAAGUCGAACGGUAACAGGUCUUCGGAUGCUGACGAGUGGCGAACGGGUGAGUAAUACAUCGGAACGUGCCUAGUCGUGGGGGAUAACUACUCGAAAGAGUGGCUAAUACCGCAUGAGCUCUACGGAUGAAAGCAGGGGAUCGCAAGACCUUGUGCUACUAGAGCGGCCGAUGGCAGAUUAGGUAGUUGGUGGGAUAAAAGCUUACCAAGCCGACGGUCUGUAGCUGGUCUGAGAGGACGAUCAGCCACACUGGGACUGAGACACGGCCCAGACUCCUACGGGAGGCAGCAGUGGGGAAUUUUGGACAAUGGGCGAAAGCCUGAUCCAGCAAUGCCGCGUGCAGGAUGAAGGCCUUCGGGUUGUAAACUGCUUUUGUACGGAACGAAAAGCCCCGGGUUAAUACCCUGGGGUCAUGACGGUACCGUAAGAAUAAGCACCGGCUAACUACGUGCCAGCCGCCGCAGUAA